GCCGGGGUGACCGAGUGGCUAAGGUGGCGGACUGCAGAUCCGCUUACGCCGGUUCGAAUCCGGCUCCCGGCUCCA
rnacentral:tRNA from 1 species